GCAGCACCCCCCCCCCCGAGCCGGGUUCACCCUGGAGCCCCUCUUGCCGCUAUUUCACUCCCUCAGCUCGUCGCCCGCCAAGCGACACUGAAGUACUGAACUCGCGAACACCCAAAGAGCCACCAAAAGACCGGAAAGGGCAGCGGAAGUCCCGCCCGCCGACGAUGUGCGGUGUGCGUCCCGCUUCUACGCUUUCAUUGGCUCGGUCAUCGCCGCCGUCACCGCGCGGCCAAUGAAGGCUCAACUCUGGGACGUUUUCCCGCGCCCGCGCCGUGUAGGGCGGGACUUCCGGCAGCUAUUUGUGGAUGCGGCGUUUGCGUUGUUUUUGGGUUCUUUCCGCGGUUUUCAGGGUGUUGAGUCCUGAGUGGGGACCGAAGUGAAUGGAGCCGGCGAGGGCGGGCGUUGUCGCCCCUGCCCAGAGGCGGCCUUGAGGCUCCCUGAGCCUGGAGUGACGGCGGUGCCCUCUUUCCUGCCCCGCUCGCCGCCUCUCCCCGCGCUUCCCACCAGCUGGAUGAGCCCCGCUCAGGCACUAUUUUGGCUGCAUGGGACGUGUCAAGAUCCAAAGCAAACAAAACCCCUUCCCACAUGAGGCUGUCAUUCUACUCGGAGGACAUGGACAGUAAGAGUCAAUGACAACAUAGUCAAUUACACAGUGCUUUUACGUGUCAGAAGUGUUAACCGAAAUUUCAGAAACGAAGACCCGAUUGAAACAAAGAGGCUCCCCCACCUCCCGUUUUUUUUUUUUUUCAGGCCUUCCUAGGGCUCCAGCCAAGGAGACACAGAUUCAAGAAGCAAUCGUUUAUCAACAAAGGAAAGUACAAACAAAACAUGACCAUCUCAACAGAUGCAGAAAAAGCAUUUCAUAAAAUUCAACAUGCAUUCACGACAAAAAAUAAAUAAAUAAAUAAAAACCCUUACCAGAGGCGAUAUAGCGGGGAACCUAUCUCAACAUAACAAAAGCUAUUUAUGACAAAUCCACAGCCAACAUACUACUCAAUGGUGAAAAGCGGAAAGCCUUCCCACUAAAAUCUGAAACAACACAAGGAUUCCCACUCUUACCCCUUCUAUUUAGCACAGUAUUGGAAGUCCUAGCCAUAACAAGCAGACAAGAAAUAAAAGGGAUUCGAAUUGGAAGGCAAGAGGAAAAACUGUCACAAUAUGCAGAAGACAGAAUACUGUAUAUAGAAAGUCCUAAGGAUUCCACGCAAAAACUUCUAGAGCUGAUUAGUCAACUCAGCAAGCUAACAGGGUACAAGAUAAAGACAGAAAUCUGUUGCAUUUCUUCACCCUAACAAUCAAAUAUCAGAAAAGGGAAGUAAAUUUUUAAAAACAUCCCCUUUAAAAUUGCAUCAAAAAAUACUCAGGAACAAAUUUAACCGAAGAGGUGAAGGACUUACAUGCUGAGAAGUCUAAAACAUCGAUAAAGGAAACUGCAGAUGAUUUAAAGAAAUGGCAAGAUACGGCAUGCUCUUGGACUGGCAGGAUUAAUGUUGUUAAAACGGCCAUGCUACCCAAAGUAGUCUACAGAAUUCAUUUGACCCCUGUCAGGUUACCCAGGACAUUUUUCACAGAACUAAAACAAAAUCCUAAAAUUUAUAUGGAAUCACAAAAGACCCAGAACUGCUAAAGCAAUACUGAAGAUAACGAACGAAGCUGGAGACGUAACCCUCCCAGACGUCAGACGAUACCACAAAGCUACAGGAAUCCAAAACAGCGUGGUACUGGCACAGAAACAGACAUACGGAUCAGUGGAACACAAAAGAGAGCCCAGAAAUAGGCUCUCUGACACACCUACGGUCAAUUAAUCUUUUGACCAAGGAGACAAGAAUACACGACGGAGAGAAGACAGCCUCUUCGGCAAGUGGUGUUGGCAAAGCCGACAGCCACAGGUAAAUCGAUGAAGUUAGAACACUCCUUCACGGCACGCACAAAAAUAAACUCAAAAUGGCUUAAAGACUUAAACAUAAGACAGGACACCAUAAAUCUCCUAAAAGAGGACACAGGCAAAACAUUCUCUGACAGAAAUCGUAGCACUGUUCUCCUAGGUCAGCCUACUGAGGCAACAGAAUUAAAAGCAAGAGUAAACAAAUGCGGCCUAAUUAAACUCACGAGCUUUGGCACCGCGAUGGAAAUCAUAAACAAGAUGAAAAGACAACCUACGGACUGGGAGAAAAUACUUGCAAAAGAAUGCAACUGACAGGGCUUAAUUUCCACAGUACACAAAUAGCUCAUACAACUCAGUAACAGGAAAACAACCCAAUCCAAAAGUGGGCAGAAGACCUACACACACAUUUCUCCAAGAAUGAGACACAGAUGACCAACAGGCACAUGAAAACAUGCUCAAUAUCGCUAUUCAUCAGAGAAAUGCAAAUCAAAACUACCACGAGGCAUCACCUCACACCAGUCAGAGUGGCCAUCAUUCAAGAGUCCUCAAACGAUAAAUGCCGGAGAGGGUGUGGGGAAAAGGGAACCCUCCUACACUGUGGGUGGGAACACAGUCUGGUGCAGCCAUUAUGGAAAACAGGAGGGAGAUUCCUCAAAAGACUAAAGAUAGACUUACCAUAGAAUCCAGCAAUCCCACCCCUGGGCAUAUAUCAGGAGGGAACCUUAAUUCAAAAAAAUACAUGCACCCCAAUGUCCACAGCAGCACUAUUUACAACAGCCAAGACAUGGAAACAACCUAAAUGUCCAUCCACAGAUGACUGGAUAAAGAAGCUGUGGUAUAUUUAUACAAUGAAAUACCACUCACCCAUUAAAUAAAUAAAAUAACGCCAUUUGCAGUAACAUGAACGGACGAGAUUAUCACACUUACUGAAGUGAGAGAAAGACAAAUAUAUUUUAUCAGCUAUCUGUGUAAUCUUAAAAGAUACAAAUUAACUUAUUUACAAAUGGAAACCGAGUCACAGACAUAAAAAAUAUACUUAUGUUUACCAAAGGGUAACGUGGGCAGGGGGAGGUAAAUUGGGAGUUUGAGAUUAACAGGUACCAAGUAUCAUAUACAAAAUAGAUAAACAACAAGGUCCUACUUUAUAAUACAAGGAACUAUAUAUUCAAUAGCUCUUAAUAAAUUGCAAUUUAAAAAAUACAUAUUUAUAUAUUUUAACUGAAUCAGUAUACCAGCAACUAAUACAACAGUGUAAAUUAACUGUACUAUACUUAUGUGAAGUGUUAAUUAACUAUAUGUUUCAACAAACUUAAUGAUCAGCUUCCUGGUUCCAAUUAAGCAAGGGUUGGUUAGGGUUUCAUGAUUGGGGCCUAUGUGCUUGUGAGAAGCCUGUAGUCAACAUCCUUCACCUGGGUGGGUGUCUUAGUUUCUGCAAAGGAACUCAAGGAUAUGCGUCAGAUUAUUACCUAUAGCCCUUCAGGACCAGAGGCCCUGAGAUUGUUUUCUCAACUAUUUUUUAAGCUAGCAUUACUUUUCUCACUUGACCACUUUUCCUAUGUUUCUGCACUCUCUGACUUCUCUAUAGUAACUGCUUGCCACUGCUCUUUGGAACUCAGGGAAGGCCUAGGAAACUAAAGCUUUUUUCUAGAAACAAAAAUUGGGGAACAUGGUGGGGCUUUUGUACCUGAGACGGCUCUACAGGGUCCUGUUUAUUUCAGGAACAAGUGCACCACAGAGUCCCCAGGCAGGCUUCACAGUCGCUUCGGUGCACCAGUCUCUUGUCCCGCUUUUCAAUUCAGUCACGUCAGAAGGGUCCCAGCACUCCAGAGGCCCAAAGAAGUGAAAAGGAGCUGCGCGACAACUACACCAGUGCCACGGGGAAAUGCAGCACACAAAGGUGAGGACCCCGAAACUCCACCUUUUAUUCUGGCAGAGCUUAAUUCUCUCCUUAACUCACAGCACACAGUAAACAGGAUCCCAAGAGUAAAGGUAGGUUAAACAAUAAGAGCUUUACCACAAAAAUCAGCACAGUGGAGCCAGAAGUUCCUGGGUUGGGUAAAACAGAGGCUGGAAAAAUCUGUCCAGAAUGUCAUGAGACAAUCAGUGAAGACCCUGAACAAGGGAAUCCUCUGUAAGCUGCCACCGAAGCCAUAUGGGGUCCUCUGUCCAAGCUGGGUGAUGUUCACAUCCAAAACAAUCAAGGGGGUGGGCCGUGAGGGCUCACCAAAGGGCUCAAACAGCCGGGGGAGACUCUAGACAAAGAGAGACAGCACAGCAAUCUGCUCUCCCCACUGAAAAAAAAACUGAGAUGUAAUUAACAUAUAACAUUUACUAGCUUCAGAUGUACAACAUAAUGAUUGGUAUUUGUAUAUAUUGCAAAGUAAUGACCAAAGUAAGUCUACUUAAUACUCUCACCAUACACAGGUACAGAACUUUCUUGUUGAGAACUUUCCUGAUUUACUCUUCACAACUUUCAAAUAUGCAAUACAGUAUUAUUAACUAUAGUCACCACAUUGUACACUACAUCUCCAUGACUUAUUUUACAACCAGAAGUCUGUACCUUUUGACCAUCUUCACCUAUUUUGUAGCAGUGACUUCCAAUGCUUUACAAAAAAAAUUUUUAGUUGAAGUAUAAGUGCCAAUGUUAUAUUAGCUUCAUGUGUACACUACUAACUUGACAUUUGACUAGUGAUGAGAUGAUACUACAGUAAGCCUAGUUACCACCUGUCACAUUUUAAGUUAUUACACUACUGACUCUAGUCCCUAUUCUCCAUAUUACAUUCCAAUGACAUUCCUGCCCCCAGUGGCUUAUUUUACAAUUGGAAGUUUGUGCUUCUUAAUCCACUUAAUCUAUUUCAAACAUUCCCCCACCCCUCUCCUCUCUGGCAACCACUGGUUUGUUCUUGGUAUCUAUGCAUCUGCUUCUGGAUUGUUUUGUUCAUUCAUCUGUUUUGCUUUUUAGAUUCCACAUUUAAGUGAAAUCACUGACUUACUUCAUUUAGCAUAUUACCCUCUAGGUCUACCCAUACUGUCACAAAUAGCAAGAUUUCUGCUUUAAUGGCUGAGUAAUAUUCCAUUAUAUACAUGUAAAUAUUACAUCUUCUUUACCAUUCAUGUAUCAAUGGACACUUCAGUUGCUUCCAUAUCUUGGCAGCUGUAAAUAAUGUUACAAUGAACAUAGGGAUGUAUAUUUCUUUUCAAUUUAGUGUUUUUGUUUUCUUUAGGUAAAUACCCAGGAUUGGAAUCACUGGGUUGAAUGUAGCUAUAUUUUUAAUUUCUUAAGGAACUUUCACACUUUGGCAUAGUGGCUGCACCAACUUAACAUCCCUACCAAUAGCAAAUGAGGGUGCCUUUUUCUCCACAUCCUCACCAACACUUGUUAUUUGCUGUCUUCUUGACAGCAGCCAUUGUGACAGGUGUGGGGGUGACUGCUCAUUGUGACUUUGAUUUGCAUCUGCCUGAUCAGUGAAGUACAGCAUCUUUUCAUGUGCUUGUUGGGCAGCUGCAUGUCUUCUCUGGGAAAAUACCUGUUCAAGUCCUCUGCCCAUUUUCUAAUCCAAUUUUUUUUUGACAUUAAGUUGUAUAAAUUCUCCAUAUAUUCUGGUUAUUAGCCCUUUACUGGCUUUGUGAUUUGCAAAUAUCUUCUCUUACUCAGGAGGUUGUCUUUUCAUUUUGCUGCUGGUUCCCUUCACAGUGUCUGAGUAUUUUAGAGACUGAGGUGGUUCACACUGCAGCUCCCUGCCAGGUAACAGAGGGAACUCCAGUCACGGCCCCAAGCGGGUCUGAAAGUGCAACACAGUUCACCAAAGCUUCCCACAUACCUGGCACUUACUGAGAAUCUCCCUAGUGAGGAUGCUUGGACAUAUGAGAUGUAAUUUCUGGCAGAUACAUCCUUCACAGAGGUAACCUCCAGAGAUUUCCUCUGUUAUGUUAAAAGCAAAGAACACAGUGGCCCACAUGUAACGUCCUUCUCCAGUGUCAACUUCCUGCUGCUGAUACCUUGGUGCACAGCAGCUCUUAGAAGAAAACAGAGGAAAAAAGCUUCCUGACACUGGGUGGCUUUGGCGAUAAUUUCUUGGACAUGACACCAAAGGCAGAGGCAACAAGAACAGAAAUAAAUGGGACUAAACUGAAAUCUAAAACUUUUGUGCAAAAAAGGACUAAAUGGACAGAAUGAAAAGGGAACCCUUGGAGUAGAAGAAAAUAUUUGUAAACUAUCUGAUAACAGGUUAUUACCCAGAGUAUAUAAAGAAUUCCUAUAUCCAAGUAACAGUAAUAAUAAUAACCCCAUUUAAAAAUGGGCAAAGGAUUGGAAGAGACAUUUUCCCAAAGAAUAUACACAGCCAACAAGCAGAUGAAAAAAUGUUCAGUAUCAUUAAAUGCAAAACAAAACCACAAUGAAAUAUCCCCUCAUGCCCCUUAGGCUAGUGUUAUAAAAAAUAAAACAAGAAAACAAGUGUUGGGGGGAGGGUACAGCUCAAAUGGUAGCAUGCAUGCCUAACAUACAUAAGGUCUUGGGUUCAAUCCCCAGUACCUCCUCUAAAAAUAAAUAAAUAAGCUUAAUUACCUCAAAAAAAUGCUAAAAAGAAAAAAAAAAAAGAAA